CCUGUGGGAGGAGUCGUUGUGUUGCUGUUAGGAGUUUGGGUCGGAGUCCUGGGUUUGUGUUCCCUUUAAUCUCUUCAUUAGCCUUGCUAGUCACCAUUGCAGAGCACCAUGGAGAGGCUUACCUGAAAACUCUUCUCAUGGGGCAGGCACAUCCUCACACACCUGUAACCCCAUCCUUGAAUAAAAGCUGGUAGCUGGUCACUCAUCAGUGUUUUAACCCAUAUCUAGCCCAUGACUCUGCCGUUUUUCAAACUUACGUUCUCAUGUUCUAUGCAGAUCUAUGGGAAUUCUUUCCUUGAAGCUCCUGAUCACACAACCAUACUGGCAGUCGGCUUACCCACUACCUUCUGCUCACCCGCUUGCUACUCAUGCUGUCAUUCUCCCAGACUUCUGGUUGUUUCUCCACCAUUCUGCUGUCUCCCGUCUGCGCUACAAUUUCAGACCGUAAGUACCUAAACUUUUCCUUUUGUAAGUCAUUCUUUAGUCAUUACUAACACUCAAUUUUACCUCAGGGCCUUCUGAUCUUUAAACACUAAAACCUGUGGCUCCAUCUCUGUGGCGUUUCUCAGACUCUAAGCUUCUGGUUCCUGAUCUCCAGCAGUUACCUCUUCAGUCAUCCGUCAAACAUUUUAAUAAACUGUUUUUAGCUCA